GGCGGCGGCCUACACAUGCAAGUCGAACGGUAACAGGGAGCAGCUUGCUGCUCUGCUGACGAGUGGCGGACGGGUGAGUAAUGUCUGGGAAACUGCCUGAUGGAGGGGGAUAACUACUGGAAACGGUAGCUAAUACCGCAUAACGUCUACGGACCAAAGUGGGGGACCUUCGGGCCUCAUGCCAUCAGAUGUGCCCAGAUGGGAUUAGCUAGUAGGUGGGGUAACGGCUCACCUAGGCGACGAUCCCUAGCUGGUCUGAGAGGAUGACCAGCCACACUGGAACUGAGACACGGUCCAGACUCCUACGGGAGGCAGCAGUGGGGAAUAUUGCACAAUGGGCGCAAGCCUGAUGCAGCCAUGCCGCGUGUAUGAAGAAGGCCUUCGGGUUGUAAAGUACUUUCAGCGGGGAGGAAGGUGUUGUGGUUAAUAACCACAGCAAUUGACGUUACCCG
rnacentral:rRNA from 1 species